AACGAACGUUGGCGGCAUGGAUUAGGCAUGCAAGUCGAGGGAAUCCCAGCAAUGGGGGAACCGGGCGUAAGGGGCGAGUAAGGCAUGGGUACCGUACCCUCGGGGUUCGGGGAGUAGCCAUCAGAAAUAGGUGGGUAAGUACCGGAUGAUGUGGUGACACCAAAGGUCAGCCGCCCUGGGAGGGGCCCGAUGUGAUAUUAGCUAGUUGGUGAGGUAACGGCUCACCAAGGCUAAGAUGUCUAGCGGGUGGAGAGCACGAUCCGCGCCACUGGCACUGAGACACUGGCCAGACACCUACGGGUGGCUGCAGUCGAGGAUCUUCGGCAAUGGGCGCAAGCCUGACCGAGCGAUGCCGCGUGCGC
rnacentral:rRNA from 1 species